UACGGAGGGUGCAAGCGUUAUCCGGAUUCACUGGGUUUAAAGGGUGCGUAGGUGGGCUGGUAAGUCAGUGGUGAAAUCUCCAGGCUUAACUUGGAAACUGCCAUUGAUACUAUCAGUCUUGAAUACUGUGGAGGUCAGCGGAAUAUGUCAUGUAGCGGUGAAAUGCUUAGAUAUGACAUAGAACACCAAUUGCGAAGGCAGCUGGCUACACGAAUAUUGACACUGAUGCACGAAAGCGUGGGGAUCAAACAGG
rnacentral:rRNA from 1 species